CAAAACAAUAUGGGAUCACCAGGGACAUGGGGACACCCCAGGGGACCCCAAAAUACCCCAAAUGAGACCAAUAUGAGAUCACCAGGGACAUGGGGACACCCCAGGGGACCCCAAAAUAUCCAAACCCAGAACAAUAUGGGAUCAAGAGGGACAUGGGGACACCCAAAGAAAUCCCAAACCCCCCAACCCAAGACAAUAUGGGAUCAUCAGAGACAUGGGGACACCCAGAAAACCCCAAGACACCCCAAAUCAGGACAAUAUGGGAUCACCAGGGACACGGGAACACCCCAGGGGACCCCAAAACAUCCCAACCCAGAAUAUGGGAUCACCAGGGACAUGAGGACACCCAGGGAAUACAGGGACACAUGAAAACCCCAAAACACCCCAAAUCAGGACGAUAUGGGAUCACCAGGGACACGGGGACACCCAGGGAAUAUGGGGUCACCCCAGGGGACAUAGGGACACCCAGGGGACCCCAAAACACCCCAAAUCAGGACAAUAUGGGAUCACCAGGGACACGGGGACGCCCAGGGAACAUGGGGACACCCAGGGAAACCCAAAACACCCCAAAUCAGCACAAUACGGGAUCCCCAGAGACACGGGGACACCCAGAAAACCCCAAAAUACCCCGAAUCAGCGCAAUACGGGAUCCCCAGGGAAAUGGGGCCACCCAGAAAACCCCCAAACACCCCAAAUCAGGACACUAUGGGAUCCCCAGGGACACGGGGACCCAGGGGACCCCAAAACACCCCAACCCAGAACAAUAUGGGAUCACCAGGGAUAUGGGGACACCCAAAAAACCCCCAAAACACCCCAAAUCAGCACAAUACGGGAUCCCCACGGACACAGGACCACCCAGGAGCCUCCCCCUCCCCUCCCAGAGCGUGCAGCUAUCGGGAAAAAUUUCGGGGCGCCGUACGGGGGGGGAAAUCCCAAAUCUUUUUGGGGUGCCCACCUCUCCCCAGGAGGUGCAGGAGCAGCCCCUGGGCCAGCAGCAUCUGCCCCGAGCGCAGGGCGCAGCCCCAGCCCCCGUCGGUGCUCCAGGAGGUCCCG
rnacentral:lncRNA from 1 species